rnacentral:pre_miRNA from 2 species
UUUAAGUGUAGCCAUGAGUUUCCGUGUCCAACGUUUGACCAUCCGUCUUAUUUUAAAUUUUUUAUUAUUAUUAGAUGAUAAAACAUGAAUAGUACUUUAUGCAUGAUUCAUUUUUGUUAAAAUUUUCAAAUAAGACAGACGGUCAAACAUUUGACACGGAAAAUCACAACUGCACUUAAA